AGCGAACGCUGGCGGCAGGCUUAACACAUGCAAGUCGAGCGGACCUUUCGGGGUCAGCGGCGGACGGGUGAGUAACGCGUGGGAACGUGCCUUCCGGUUCGGAAUAACCCUGGGAAACUAGGGCUAAUACCGGAUACGCCCUUAUGGGGAAAGGUUUACUGCCGGAAGAUCGGCCCGCGUCUGAUUAGCUAGUUGGUGGGGUAACGGCCUACCAAGGCGACGAUCAGUAGCUGGUCUGAGAGGAUGAUCAGCCACACUGGGACUGAGACACGGCCCAGACUCCUACGGGAGGCGGCAGUGGGGAAUAUUGGACAAUGGGCGCAAGCCUGAUCCAGCCAUGCCGCGGGAGUGAUGAAGGCCUUAGGGUUGUAAAGCUCUUUUAUCCGGGACGAUAAUGACGGUACCGGAGGAAUAAGCCCCGGCUAACUUCGUG
rnacentral:rRNA from 1 species